AGCAUUUUAGUGGCAUUUAUGGAAUCGG
rnacentral:sRNA from 1 species